GAUGAACGCUGGCGGCGUGCCUAAUACAUGCAAGUCGAGCGAACGGACGAGAAGCUUGCUUCUCUGAUGUUAGCGGCGGACGGGUGAGUAACACGUGGAUAACCUACCUAUAAGACUGGGAUAACUUCGGGAAGCUGGAGCUAAUACCGGAUAAUAUUUUGAACCGCAUGGUUCAAAAGUGAAAGACGGUCUUGCUGUCACUUAUAGAUGGAUCCGCGCUGCAUUAGCUAGUUGGUAAGGUAACGGCUUACCAAGGCAACGAUGCAUAGCCGACCUGAGAGGGUGAUCGGCCACACUGGAACUGAGACACGGUCCAGACUCCUACGGGAGGCAGCAGUAGGGAAUCUUCCGCAAUGGGCGAAAGCCUGACGGAGCAACGCCGCGUGAGUGAUGAAGGUCUUCGGAUCGUAAAACUCUGUUAUUAGGGAAGAACAUAUGUGUAAGUAACUGUGCACAUCUUGACGGUACCUAAUCAGAAAGCCACGGCUAACUACGUG
rnacentral:rRNA from 1 species